rnacentral:rRNA from 1 species
GGGUUGUGAGGUUAAGCGACUAAGCGUACACGGUGGAUGCCCUGGCAGUCAGAGGCGAUGAAGGGCGUGCUAAUCUGCGAUAAGCGCCGGUAAGGUGAUAUGAACCGUUAUAACCGGCGAUACCCGAAUGGGGAAACCCAGUGUGAUUCGUCACACUAUCAUUAACUGAAUCCAUAGGUUAAUGAGGCGAACCGGGGGAACUGAAACAUCUAAGUACCCCGAGGAAAAGAAAUCAACCGAGAUUCCCCCAGUAGCGGCGAGCGAACGGGGAGGAGCCCAGAGCCUGAAUCAGCAUGUGUGUUAGUGGAAGCGUCUGGAAAGGCGCGCGAUACAGGGUGACAGCCCCGUACACAAAAGCGUAUGUGCUGUGAGCUCGAUGAGUAGGGCGGGACACGUGGUAUCCUGUCUGAAUAUGGGGGGACCAUCCUCCAAGGCUAAAUACUCCUGACUGACCGAUAGUGAACCAGUACCGUGAGGGAAAGGCGAAAAGAACCCCGGCGAGGGGAGUGAAAAAGAACCUGAAACCGUGUACGUACAAGCAGUGGGAGCACCCUUUGGGGUGUGACUGCGUACCUUUUGUAUAAUGGGUCAGCGACUUAUAUUCUGUAGCAAGGUUAACCGAAUAGGGGAGCCGGAGGGAAACCGAGUCUUAAUUGGGCGUUAAGUUGCAGGGUAUAGACCCGAAACCCGGUGAUCUAGCCAUGGGCAGGUUGAAGGUUGGGUAACACUAACUGGAGGACCGAACCGACUAAUGUUGAAAAAUUAGCGGAUGACCUGU